UAGGGUUUUUUAUGAGACAGAUUUCCUUUGGAAUAACCUGUGUCUGGUUAGGAAGACUAAGGUGGAAAGAAAUGGCUCCAUCCCACUCAAGAUGACACAUGCAGCUCAAAAAAGUGGGAACUUUGAGCUGGUUGGAAGUCAAGCUGAACCACAACCUCCCUUGAGGUGGGGAGAAUGGAUGAGAAAUAGAAGACUGUGUCUUAAAAUGGAAUUCAAGACAAGGGGAAGAAACAGAGGGAAUCCACUCUGUUGGAAAUAUACUUUCUUCAAUUACCUGCUUUCAAAUGAAAGGAAAAAGUAGAUUGCUUAACCUGAAAAGGUGGCUGAACAACAGGUCACCUGGAGAAAUCUUUACACACUUCCAAUGUUCUCUGAGGGGACAUUUUGGAUCAGAAGAAAAUGGAGAUCUAAUCUGAUGGUAACUUGUUUGUUCCUUGGGUUCAUUAUUUGGUGUUUUCUGAUAUUAACUGUAACCUACUCUAGUAAGAGAAAUCACCAUCACUUAUUCCAGUGGCAAUGGUUUGAUGGAAAAUGUGACUGCAAUAUCGUUCUGUAUGAAAGACAAACUGUGAGUGUUUGAUCAGUGUACAAAGAAGAAGAAAAUAUAUAUGAGGCAAUAAAAAAAUAGGAGCUAGAGCUAAAAGUUAAACAUGGAGAAUGAGGCAUAAUUGUGUCAGGUAAACACUUCUUCCUCAUCAUCUUUUUUUGCUCACUGGUGAGGCUUGUUCACUAUCUAGUCCUGCAUGUUGGAAUUGAGCAUCAAUUUUGCAAACUAAGUAAUGAAUCCAUCAGUAGUAUUUCUCUUUACAAUAGGUAAUUUACUGUGUGGUUGAAACAAAAAAAUACAAGAAAGUGUAGGAAAUAAAAACAUAGAAA